rfam:Candidatus Burkholderia humilis strain TZHbot5 BHTMctg11, whole genome shotgun sequence.
AAAGUUCUUUACGAUGAAGAACUAGCGAUUCACAUCGACCCCGAGUCAUGCGGUGGCACUCGCGAGGGUGUCACCGAAGUGCUUCGACAGCGAAUGAUGACGAUUGCACGCCGCCGUCUGCGCCACUUGCGUCAGCAGCGCU